UUUUUUUUUUUUUUAAUGUUUUGAUGUAUGACAAAGUCUCGCUUAUCCAAUAACAAAUAUUUACGCAAUCAACUUAAAGCUGAAGCAAACCUCCUCCCCCAAGUCAGACUGCUUUAGACAUUACGUAUUUUUCAGCACUUUUCGUUCUUGCUUUCCAUUCAAAGCUCCAAGCUCCCACUGCUCCUGCCCCCAGCACACUACACCAUGAAUACCAAAAUGCUUUCCUUCCACGCACAUCUAACAGGUUCUUUGAGAAAAGGUGAACAUUCCACUAUCAACCAUUACCGCUUACCUAGUCAAUGUGAGAAUUAUGCUCUGCGGGACGAUCACAGCCUAUGAAAGAAGAGACGGCCUAGGUAGGUAGUCAAAGAAUAUACACAUGGGUAAAAUAGCCUUCUAGGAGUCCCCGUCGUGGCCCAACAGGAACCAAUCUGAUGAGGAACCAUGAGGUUGCAGGUUCAGAUCCCCUGUGGCUGUGGCUCUGGGGUAGGCCAGCAACUAUAGCUCCGGUUAGAUCCCUAGCCUGGGAACCUCCAUAUGCCACAGGUGCGGCCCUAAAAAGACAAAACGCCAAAUAAAUAAAUAAAUAAAUAAAUAAAAGUCUUCUACGUAAAUUUUCUCUUAUAAAAUAUCCACACACAGGAGUUCCUGACGUGGCACAAAGGGAUCUGCAGCGUCUCUGAAUCGCCGGAACACAGGUUCACACAGUGGGUUAAGGAUCCGGCAUUGCCGAAGCUGCCGUGUAGGCUGCAACUUCAGCUAAGAUCUGACUCCUGGCCCAGGAACUCCAUACGCCGGGGGGAGGGGUGGCCCAAAAAAAAGUGAAUGUAUAUUUGGAUCAUACUCGUGUACAAUUAAAUAUGCACGCAGACAAAGACUGAAAGGGAAAAUAUAGAAACUGGAUCCAGAGUGUUUGUGGUUAGAUUAGGCGUGAUCUUUAAAAUAAAUAAAUAAAAAUACACACACAAAAGACAACAGUAAGAAUUAGGUACCUAAAACCAAAAGGAGAAAAUAAUUGUUCAAAUAGUUCAAACUAGAUGUUUUUCUAUAUAAUUUUAGUUGAUUAAUGUAACAUGUGCAUGUCUUUCUUAC
rnacentral:lncRNA from 1 species